ensembl:antisense Kif16bos kinesin family member 16B, opposite strand
AGGUUUAGAAAUGGGCGCAGAGUCAGCCAAUCAAGGGCGGGAAAACUCGGAGGGUUGAAAAUGGGGCGCAUGCGCAAUAGCAGAAGCAGCGGGCGGGUCCAGGCACAGCCGCCAGCCAGGCUGCACCCGGCUGUGGCAGCCACGGGCAGGGGCGGAGCCCGCCGUAUAUGGGAGCUGCUUGGGGACAAACUGUGUAGGGUGCGCUCUCGGGCGGGCAGGGCUUCAACACCCUACCAGCUGUAGAGUCGCUGAGAGCAACCAAGACAACCAAGAACAGCAGCCUACACGUGUACAUAAUCCUCUGAUUCCAACACCACCUUGCGAUUUGACACAACCGACAAAGUGCUGCGGCCCACGGAACACGAACAGCAAGCCUGCGGAUUUUAAACUAGAAGCAGCGAGGUUUCUCGCCAGAGAAAUGACUGAACAGCCACCCCUUGAUUAAUUUACUCUCUGCACCAAGAAAAAUGAAUAAACAGGAAGGUUUUUAAGGGC